AAAAAAAUUAAGACGCUGCCCAAAAUCCCAGCCCAAGGUCCUCCACCAGGAGUAUUUUGCUCUUGGUUUUCUGGAUCUAUUCCUGUAGGUAGCAGCAGUUCUUUUCUUGCAUUGAAUCAAGUUAUAUCUAUGAAGAAUGAAGGGUUUCCAGGUUUUGAGGACUAAGGAGGUGGCCUAGUGGUCUAGAAGUUUGAUAUUCAGACUCUGUUUGGCCAGAGCCUAUAUGGGCAAACCAGCCUGAAAGACUGGCAUCUUUGGUAAUGAAAGAAAAGAGAGGUUUGCUGAAACCUGGAGAGACUGGAACCAUCAUGAGAGAGAAAGCUAAAGGAGUUGAUGGAUAUAUAGGUUUCCUUUGGAGAUUGGAGACAAUGCCGUAGGACAGAAGGUCUGAACAGGACCUCUCUCAAAAAUAUUUGGCUACCAGGACCACUGUGAUCUUUGUAAAGACCCCAGAUAUGGAAGAGUCCAAAGGGGAGACCAAUUAACUGAAAGGGGAUGGCAAAGGAACUACUGAUGACUGUGGUGAGUUAGGGCAUACAAGAAGCAUCCUUGAAGUCAACUGAAAAAAGAAAAUCACGCUGGGAGAAACCAUAUAGGACAGACCCGAGGGGAUGAGAGUUUCCAUCUGAUAUUUGCCCUUCCAGAGAUAGCAACUAAAUAGCCAAUGGUUCAUAACUGAUGGAAUCCACCUAGGAGUUUACAGACCAAUACAGUGUGGCAAUAAAAUCUAUUCCACUGAAGGGAUCUGAGAACUGCCUGUUUUAGUAGAAGUGCUGAAACCUCAGAGUAGAGGGCCAGGGAUUUUAAUGUAUGAGGGUAUACAGAGAAAGCAAAAGGGAAGAGGGUCCAGAAGAAAUCUGACAGAUUAAUCUGCCUCACCCAAGUGUCCAGAAUGAACAAGGCCCCGACCGCUGUGGAGUUGCUGGGCUCCCACAGGAGAUAAAUAAGAGAGAGGAAGCCGGGCCGGAUAGAUGUCAGGAGGGCCUGCUGGAGGAGAAGGGAGCAGAAGAAGAGAGAGAUCAAAAAGUGUCUCUAAGUGGAUAUCGAAGGAAGAAGAGGAACCCUGAAUUUCAGUGGAAUAUUGGCAGAAAUGGUGAUAUACACAUGUUGAGGAUCUGGCCCUCUGUGCCCUAUGCUCAUGGGAGCAGAGGAGACAAUAUGAGCCUACGUGUAGAAAAUGUAGUAAUUCGUUUUAUGUUGGGAGAAUAAAAGAAAAUGAGAACUCCCCUAGGAUAUGAUCUCUCUACCUUUUGAAACAGAAGUACACAAGCUUUGGUUUACAACAAUGGGCUACCAUAUAUUUUUUCAUUAGUGCAAUAGAAACAUAGUGAGAGUUAGAAAAAUCUAAUAUAAAAGCUGUGGAGGUAAAAAAAAGACAGAAUUCUGCCCUUAAUAGCAGGUGCCUGGGUUCCCCUUGAAAUCAAUAGGAGGCACACAUACUCAUCCAAGUGUAAGUUUGGAUCAAAAAUGUUCUAUAGUUCAUUUAACUAUGUACAUGAACACAACAAUUAUAUACAAAUCAGACACUGAGCUUCAACCUUGUGCAACCAAAACUCAGAUUGAAAUCAGCAGGAUUGGGCCCUCGAUUUAAUGUAAAUUUUACUUCAGUAAAAUAGUGACUAGCAUUUGUCUAUAUCUUGGAUGUAGAUUUCUUCCUGGGAUAGUGCCUAUUAAAAUUAUUAAGUACAGAAUUGUAUGUUUGUGUCUGAGAAAGAAAUUGAAAAAGAAUAAAACUGUUAGGUUGCCCAUUGUCUUUUUCAGGAUUGGUACUCUAUAGACUUUUUCCUAACUUGGCUCUUGUUCUUGCCAUGAUUAUCAAUUACAGGAACACCUUGCUUUAUUUCUCAUAUAGCAAUUAUGACGAGUGUGAACCACACCUUGUGUAGGAUCCGCAGAGUACUUAGAUAAAAAAAGAAGGAAAAAAAAAACCCUACCUCUAGCAAACCCAAAGGAGUCCUUGACUGGGUUACCUACCAAUAGCAGGAAUGUCACUUUUUUUAAAACUGACCUGGGCUCUGUGGAUCACUUGGAAGUACUUCACAAACCAUUAGUUGUCUGCAGACCAAUUUGAGAACCACUGGGUUAAAUUUCCUUGUGCGAAGGAGAGCUAUUCCAACAGAUCAAUGGCAGAGCAUUUUUCUUGGUAACUGAUGACAUGGUGUGAAGACUUGGGGAAUCUGUCUGUGCAAUUUAUGAAUUCUGGUUGAUAUUGUGUAUUGAAAACUGCUGUAUCACAGAAUGCCUCUGUGUCUAUUCACCAUUGCUGACAAGGCUGUAAGCAUGUCUCUCCCAGACUAGAUGCAAUGGGGAGGAGUUAACCUUAAUGACUGUACUUUGACUGUAGACAAGUCACUAGCAAUAGGACAAAGGGAACUCACACUGCCGCACAGGAAGCUUUGGGCAGGAGAGAGGGAAAGAGACUGGCAGUCUUUCAUAGCAGCGGAGGCUCAGUUUAGCUGCAGGACCAACUAAGGUCAGAGAAAGCAAGCUGACCUAGAGGGAGAAAGAGGUUCCAUAAUUGAGAUGACAAGCCAUGCGCUGCAGAAGAAGAACACUGGAUGGCUUCAGAGGACCCCAGCCCAAAGAAUGCUCAGGAGUGGUGAGAAAACUGACACAGGGAAACACAAGUCGGGUUUAUUAUUUUUGUAUAGGUCUAUGUAUUUCUUGUGUGAUUAAGUAAAGAGCAAUGUUGUUAGAAUCCUAUGGAAAGUCUGUCUAUACCUAUCAUAUCCCCUGGAAGAGUUAACCUGUGGACCCAGGACACCCACACAGUUGACAUUCCAGGUGUAUUUAAGCUACAUGGAAGACUGAGGGGUCAGCAUUCGUGACAGGUUUUCGGUCAUUGGACCGUGAGGUUUCCGCUCUCAGGAGAGGGUGCUAACGAGAGGGUCUGCACCACAAGAGUGUGCCUAGGGACCCCAAACCAUGGACCUAGACUUGGUUCAGGCUCUGGGGGCCUAAAGCACAUGAGGACCAGUGAGGUAGGUCCCCUCACGGAGAUUGAGUGUGUAGCCAACUGGAUCUGUGACACAUGGUCCCAGUCCUAUCAGCUAAUGCCUGCUCGUUAUUUUGUAGGUACUGUAUGUUCAUGGGUUACUGUUUGUAUGUAUGAUAGCUAGCAGCUGUAAGUUUGUACAGACAAAAAUGGUGCCAAGUUCUGGGCUUUUGCAUGAGGCCAAUUAGCUCAUAUUUUGUGGUUCAUUUGAAGGUCCUAAACUCAAAACAUGGUUACAACUGGGUGAUAAAUUGCUCCAGGCUGAACAUGCAAAAAUAAAAGUGACGCAAAUAAGCUUUUGACAACCCUAGGAUUCAGGCUUGCACUUGUUAGUACAUUAGAUUAGGUCAGUACUCUGUCUCACCAACCCAUCACACUUCAUCUGUCUUAGAAUUUGUCCUGACUAUUCAUAAUAUCUGUGUCACAGAAACCAGGAUUAAGGUAUAGAAGCAUGAAGACUGACAUAGCCUUUCACACUGAAUUGGGGUCCAGGUCACUGCUGGUGUCAUAGCUGUGAAAAUGAAGAUUGGCUCUAUCUUUCCCCUACCUGCCUCAUAAGUAUGACAUUUAUUUUUAUAUUGCAUUGUCAGUCCCUUAAAAUGUGAUCCAGACAGUUAUGAUCAUUAGCACCUGUUAGUAGCAUACCACUGACAAAUUAAAUACUUGUCACAAAGCAACCUCAGGACAUACGUGCUGAAUGUACUGAUAUCCUGACAUCAGGAGGUCCCUUUAUAUGAAAUUAGAUGAGGAGACAAUGAAAUCAUUUGCUCAGAACUAAUCAAAUUGUCAGACAAUAUUAUUGUCAGCAUGACUCUGCCUGCAGUCACAGUCUAAGGGCAGUAGGACCCUGUUUGUCUGAGGGCAGAGGCUGUGCCCCUCAAGAUUAGCAUCAUGUUGGCUGUGUGACAAGGGAUGGGGGGAAGACAUCCAUAGGGACAUGAACAGCAGGGUAGCAGGGAGACUUGUUACACACAGAGAGAGAGGCAGCAAAGGGCGGUGGAUGCUUAAGGUAUGGGAGAAGAAAAAGCUUGGAGUGGAGUAUCAAGUUUCUAAAACGAUUGUUAAAGCAUUUGGAGAGAGCACAGUGUGAAUGUGAGAGUGUGCAGGUGCAUGCAUUCCCCAAAGCAAAUAUGUACCAACAGUUGGGGUUAACGAUAGGAACAAACAAGGCUUAAUGACUAAAAAUGAAGUAAAUUUACCAAAUUAUUGAUAAUUUCUAGCAGUUGCAAGAACAGUAUUAGAUGCUGUUGAGAACAGGAAAUUCAGCAUCUGCCACAGGAUUUUAGUGAUAAUCUUUCCAGAGAUUUGCAUCAUGAUUUACAGUGUACACCAGUAGUUCUCAACCAGAGGUAUGCAGAAGUCUUCCAGGGGGUACAUCAAGUCAUCUAGAUACUUGUAUAGUUUUACCACAGGCUACAUAAAAAGCACUAGCGAAGUCAGUACAAACUAAAAUUUCAUGCAAUGACUUGAUUAUACUGCUCUAUAUGCUGUAUACUUAAAUGUAAGUACAAUAUUUAUAUUCCAAUUGUAUAAUUAUAAGGUAAAAAUCAGAAAGCAAUUUUCAGUAAUAGUGUACUGUAACACUUUUAAAUGUUUAUGUCUGAUUUUGUAAGCAAGUAGUUUUUAAAUGAGAUGAAACUUGGGGGUAUACAAGACAAAUCAGACUUCUGAAUGGGGUACAGUAGUCUGCAAAGGUUGAGAGCCACUGGUCUACACAAACCCAUUUUCUGCAGAAGUGUUUAAUACAGAGUCAGAGUUUUCCCACUCAUGACACCAGCCUCCAGCAGCUAGUGUACAUUCUAUAAGCAGCAUGAUUCCAGUACACCAUUCUUGGUUUUCUGAAGCAUACGCAAAAUUACAACCCUUAACCAUGUUAUCAUAGACAUUAAAAGCAAAGUCAUGUUUGCUGUGUAGAUAAUUUUAAUCAUGUUCUUAGUGAUCAGAUGAUCACUAAACACAUAUAAUAACCAAAAGGAAAAGGGAUGUUGGAAAACAAUAUUCCACAUUUUUGAGAUGCUUGUUUUUGAAGGACAAGUUAUUUAAGCUAUACUGAGAAGCUGAGAGAGAGGCUUUUGUCCACCGUCUUGUUUAAUUGCUAAAUAAAAUUUUCAGUUUUGAUGGCUGGAGGUUGUUCUUCCCCAAAGAUAAAAGAGGAAACAAGAUAACCCUGCCUCUAACCUAAACUGCCGCUUGCAGGUUCCCUGUCAUUCCAUACUCCUCUUUAACUGCCGGUCAAGCUGUCCUUUUUCCUAAAUCAUGGCAUUUAAAUAUCAGUCUUAAUGAGAUCAUUUGUUAAAAAUACUUCGAAGGGUUAUCAAGACACAGUAAAACCAAAUGAGAAUUGAGAAUUAACAUAAUCUAAGCCUAGAUUUAGCACAGGUUUAUAGUAGCUAAAGAUGAAAAAUACAUGUUAGAUCAUCACUGCAUCCAUAGUUCUAAGCAGCACCUCCCAGCCUACCCGCUUUAGUUACAGCCCUCACAGGUGUGAGAAUGGUAGGACAUGUACUGUGGAAGGCUGUAGCGCUCUUUCAAGAACAAGCUUAGGCUCAGGACUCCUGGAGGACAGGAACAAGGGCAGCAUAAAAUGGUGUAGUAGCAGAAUUUACUGCUUAACAUGCAGGUGAUGAAAAAUGCCACCCACCUGCCUCAACAGGUAGGGGAACUUGAGAGACCUGGCAGUGCAAGGUGACAACUCCAGCAGUGAAGUUGGCCUGCAAGGCUACUUGAUUAACUACACCACCUGAUUGGUCAGGAAGGGUAGCUGGCUGUUAAACCCAUCAGCAACAAUCUGGCUGCUCAACGCCUUCACACACCCAGCUGUGAUGCUCCCUGUGUCAGCUGCUCCUGUCUUGCUCUAGGCCUGUUCCUGCCUUGUUCCCUCACCUUGCUCCUGGUUCCAGCGUCCUCACCCUGACUCUAGCUCUGACUCUUGGCAUGUCUACUGGUUCCUGAUCCUAGCUCUCACCCUUGGCUUGGCUUAGUUCCUGGUUCUGGCUCUGAGUCCUGGCAUGGCUAUUGGUUCCUGACUCCAGCCCUGACCCUUGGUUCAGAUCUUUUCCUGCCUGGGAGCUCAGGGUACUGGGAGCAGAGCAGUGCUGGGGAAAGGUAAGAGGAGCUAGGGAGCCCCAGCCUGGUAAACCCCCAGGCUGCAGGCCUUGUUAAAGGCCAACGCAGGUACUAGGGUUGCAGAGGUACAGCCUGGGAUUAGGCAGAGGCAGCCGGUCCAACCCUCCCUUGCCAAUGAUGACUGGCCAUUACACUGCAGUCUGCCCGAGUGAAUGGGGGCUAGAUGAUGACUGGCAGUAGCCACUGAGGCAAGGUGGGUGUAGAGGGUUGAGGGGUUCCCCUGGGAGGGGAGACCCAGCAUGUGGGGUACUGCAGUGGGCAGAACCCCAGGGUAAGCAGCACCAGAGUCCAGGAGGGACACGGGGGCCUGAGGCAGGCGAGACACCGGCCACCAGGAGGUGCUCUGAGGCUGAAGAGCUAAUUCCCAAGACGACCACCAGGAGGCACCGCGCCAGGGUUCAUUUAAACAACUAAAAUGAACCAGUCUGAGGCCAUUCCAAAGCAACUGGGGGAUUCAUGGCAUCACCUCUACAUACAGGCAUUUUAACAAAUUCUUGGUGAAGAUCACAUUUUAAUGCAACAAGCUAAUGCACGUGAUUCCAUUAGGAGUCAGCUGGCCACUUCAGUUUUUGCACAAAUGCAGGGUUAGAAAAACUGUCAGGUUUCUAAAUUACAUUAGGCUGUGGACAGAACAGUAGGUACAGGAACUGAGAAAAGUCUUUAAUAGUGGUAGUGUUUUCAGGGAAAUAGAUCAUAAAUAUGAUCAUGGGCAAGCACUGAUGGUUUUUGACACAAUAUAGGUCACUCACAAAAAUCAGAAGGUGUUUUUGAGCAUGCAAAAACUUGUGCACUUGUUAAGCCACUGAAAACAGUAGCAUUUAUAGCAUCAAGUUACUACCACUCCUCCUUCAUACGAAGUUAUGCUGGUUUUGCGUUUAGAAAAAAAAUUCUUUGGGAUUGGUCGAUAUUAUGACAAUUUUAAUUAAAAGAGAUUUAAAUGUUAUCAGUUGAUUUGGUUAAGGAGACAGCUCUGUUGGGAUAAAACUUCCAGCUUAGAUGUAUGUGCAGUGUGCUAGGGAUAUAAACACCUUAGCAAUAAGAA